rnacentral:rRNA from 1 species
UUAGCAUGGGAUAACAUCAUAGGAUUUUAAUACUAUUGUUUUGGCCUUCGGUAUGUAAUGAUUAAUAGGGAUAGUUAGGUGCAUUCGUAUUUCAUAGUUAGAGGUGAAAUUCUUGGAUUUAUGAAAGAUGAACAACUACGAAAGCAUUUGCCAAGGAUGUUUCCAUUAGUCAAGAACAAAAGCUAGGGGCUCAAAGAAAAUCAGAUAUCGUCCUAGUCUCAACCAUAAAUGAUGCCAACCAAGGAUCGUCGGAUGUUUCUUUUAGGACUCCACCAGUACCUUAUGAUAAAUCAAAGUCUUUGGGUUAUGGGGGGAGACUGGUCGUAGGGCUGAAACUUAAAGGAAUUGACAGAAGGGCACCACCAGGAGUGGAGCCUGAGGCUUAAUUUGACUCAACACGGGGAAACUUACUAGGUCCAAAGAUAGUGAGGAUUGACAGACUGAGAGCUCUUUCUUGAUUCUAUGUGUGGUGGUGCAUGGCCAUUCUUAGUUGGUAGAGCAAUUUGUCUAGUUAAUUCUGUUAACGAACGAGACUUCAGCCUGCUAACUAGCUACACGGAGGUGAUCCUCCGUGGCUAGCUUCUUAGUGGGACUAUGGCCUUUUCGGCCAAGGAAGUUUGAGACAAUAAAUGGUCUGUGAUGCCUUUAGAUGUUCUGGGCCGCACGCGCGCUACAUUGAUGUAUUCAAUGAGUCUAUAGCCUUAGCGGACAGGCUCUAGUAAUCUUUGAAAUUUCAUCGUGAUGGGGAUAGAUCAUUGCAAUUGUUGGUUUUCAACGAGGAAUUCUUAGUAAGCACAAGUCAUCAGCUCGCGUUGACUAUGUCCCUGCCCUUUAUGCACACCGCCCGUCGUUCCUACAGAUUGAAUGGUCCGGUGAAGUGUUCGGAUCGCGGCGACAUGGGCGGUUCACUACCCGCGACGUCAUAAGAAGUCCACUAAACCUUAUCAUUUAGAUGAAGGAGAAGUCGUAACAAGGUUUCCGUAGGUGAACCUACGGAAGGAUCAUUGUCGAAACCUUCCUAGUAGAACGACCCGUGAAUGAGUUGUAAACAAGCAUCCUCAGCGAUGGACCGGGCCCAAGUCCUCUGGAAAAGGGCAUCGGAGAGGGUGAGAGCCUCGUCGUGCUCGGACCCUGUCACACCACGAGGCACUAUCUACGAGUCGGGUUGUUUGGGAAUGCAGCCCUAAUCGGGCGAUAAAUUUCGCCCAAGGUUAAAUACAGGUGAGAGACCGAGAGCGAACAAGUACCGUGAGGGAAAGAUGAAAAGGACUUUGAAAAGAGAGUCAAAGAGUGCUUGAAUUGUCGAGAGGGAAGCGGAUGGGGGCUGGCGAUGCACCCCGAUCGAAUGUGGAACGAUGAGAGCUAGUCCAUCGAUCGACUCGGGGCAUGGAUCGACGUAGGUCAUGGCAGCAGCCUAAGCCCGAGCUCUUGAUACGCCCAUAGAGACGUCGUCACCUCAAUCGUGGGAUCCAGCACGCACCGUCUCGGCAUGCUUAUGCACCUGCGUGCUCCGAGCGUCGGCCUGCGAGAUCCCCAUUCGGCCUGUCCUGAAACACGAACGGUGGUCAUGAAAGUCAAAAUCCAUUAAGGAGUGUGUAACAACUCACCUGCCGAAUCACCUAGCCCUGCAUGUCGCGUGGUGUUCGGUGCGUCCCCGGUGGCCCUUGAAAAUUCAAAGAAUCGAGUGUCGUCCGAUCCCGAUCGUACUCAUAAUCACAUCAGGUCUCCAAGGUGAACAGCCUCUGGUCAAUGAAACAAUGUAGGCAAGGGAAAUUGGCAAAAUGGAUCCAUAACCUUGAGAAGAGGAUUGGCUCUGAGGGCUGGGCAUGGGGUUCCCAGUCUCGAACUCGUUCGCUGCUAGUGCACUGCUCGAGCUGCUCCCACAGCGAGAGCGGGUCGCUGCAUAUCGGUCGGGGGACGGACUGGGAACGGCUCCCUCAAGGGCCUUCCUCGGACGAUGAACAGUCAACUCAGAACUGGUACGAACAAGGGGAAUCUAACUAUUUAAUUAAAAGAAAGCAUUACGAUGGUCCCUGCGGAUACUCACGUAAUGUGAUUUCUACCUAGUGCUCAAAAUGUCAAAGUGAAGAAAUUCAACCAAGCGCGGGUAAACAGCGGGAGUAACUAUGACUCUCUUAAGGUAUCCAAAUGCCUCGUCAUCUAAUUAGUGACGCACAUGAAUGAAUUAACGAGAUUCCCACUAUCCCUGUCUGCUAUCCAGCGAAACCAAAGCCAAAGGAAUGGGCUUGGAAAAAUCAGCGGUGAAAGAAGACCCUGUUGAGCUUGACUCUAGUCCGACUUUAUGAAAUGACUUGAGAGGUUUAGGAUAAGUGGGAGCUCUCAGGUGAAAUUGAAAUAGCACUACUUUUAACGUUGUUUUACUUAUUCUAUGAAUCGUAGGUGGGGCAUGGCCUCUCUUUUUGGACCCAAGCCUGGCUUCGAUUGAUCGAUCCGGGCGAAAGACAUUGUCAGGUGGGGAGUUUGGCUAGGGCAUCACAUCUAUUAAAAGAUAACGCAAGUGUCCUAAGAUGAGCUUAACGAGAACAAAAAUCUCGUGUGGAACAAAAGGGUAAAAGCUCGUUUGAUUUUGAUUUCCAGUACGAAUACGAAUCGUGAAAGCGUGGCCUAUCGAUCCUUUAGACCUUCAAAAUUUGAAGCUAAAGCUGUUAGAAAAGUUGCCACAAGGAUAACUGGCUUGUUGCAGCCAAACGUUCAUAACAAUGUUGCUUUUUGAUCCUUCGAUGUCGGCUCUUCCUAUCAUUGUGAAGCAGAAUUCACCAAGUGUUGGAUUGUUCACCCACCAAUAGGGAACGUGAGCUGGGUUUAGACCGUCGUGAGAUAGGUAAGUUUUACCCUAUUGAUGGCUAUGUCGUAAUAGUAAUUCAACCUAGUACGAGAGGAAUCGUUGAUUCGCACAAUUGGUCAUCGCGCUUGGUUGAAAAGCCAGUGGCGGGAAGCUAUCAUGCGCUAGAUUAUGACUGAACGCCUCUAAGUCAGAAUCUGAGAUAAAAGCGAUGCACGUGUCCGUCGCCCAAUUACCGACCCGUAAUAGGGGCCUUUGGCUCCCAAGGGCACGUAUAGUAGGUUCAAUUCCAGAUAGGGAGCCUAAGAAACGGCUACCACAUCCAAGGAAGGAAACAGGCGUGCAAAUUACCCAAUCUUGACACGG